rnacentral:rRNA from 1 species
UACGGAGGGGGCUAGCGUUGUUCGGAAUUACUGGGCGUAAAGCGCACGUAGGCGGCUUUGUAAGUUAGAGGUGAAAGCCCGGGGCUCAACUCCGGAAUUGCCUUUAAGACUGCAUCGCUAGAAUUGUGGAGAGGUAAGUGGAAUUCCGAGUGUAGAGGUGGAAUUCGUAGAUAUUCGGAAGAAACACCAGUGGCGAAGGCGACUUACUGGACACAUAUUGACGCUGAGGUGCGAAAAGCGGUGGG